rnacentral:piRNA from 1 species
GACAAAUGUCAAAAACCUUGGAUGAUCCU